rnacentral:rRNA from 1 species
AACGUAGGAGCCUAGCGUUAUCCGAAUUCACUGGGCGUAAAGCGCGUGUAGGCGGCUCGGUAAGUUGGAUGUAAAAUCUCCUGGCUCAACUGGGAGGGGACGUUCAAUACUGCUGGGCUAGAGGGCAGCAGAGGGAGGUGGAAUUCCCGGUGUAGUGGUGAAAUGCGUAGAUAUCGGGAGGAACACCAGAGGCGAAGGCGGCCUCCUGGGCUGCACCUGACGCUCAGACGCGAAAGCUAGGGGAG